rnacentral:rRNA from 1 species
UACGAAGGGGGCUAGCGUUGCUCGGAAUUACUGGGCGUAAAGCGCACGUAGGCGGUUUCUUAAGUCGGGGGUGAAAGCCCGAGGCUCAACCUCGGAACUGCCUUCGAUACUGCGGGUCUCGAGUCCGGGAGAGGUGAGUGGAAUUCCUAGUGUAGAGGUGAAAUUCGCAGAUAUCAGGAGGAACACCAAUGGCGAAGGCAGCUCGCUGGGACGUGACUGACGCUGAGACGCGAAAGCGUGGGGAGCAAACAGG